CGCAGCGCUGCCAAUGGACCGGAAACGGUUCGUCCGCUUCCAUAAUGACGAAUCCCUCGAUCACGUGUGUCAGCACGUUCGGCUUGAUCAUCGCCUUCGGCAGUCCACCCUUGUCGGUUCCGGUUUUCCCUUGCGGGGGCGGAAGUCCUCCUGGGGUGCUGGCCACCGUCGUGGUUGUCGUCGUCGAGGGGGGUGGUGGUAAUCCAUUGGGGACCGAAGAGGUGAGGGAUGUUACCGAUGAGUUAUUGGCGUUGUUACUGGUGGCUGUUGUGAUUGUGGUGGCCGCCGGAGAACUGCAUUGGAUGCUAGUUGGUAGGGAUGAUGGUGUGGUAUUGGGGGACGUCGUUGUCGUCGUUAGCGACGCGUUGGUGGAGGUUGUCGUCGUUAUCUGAGCCGUCGUUGUUGUGGUGGUGAGGGGUGGCGUCGUAGUUGUCGUGCUGACGGCACCGGCUGAUGAAUCUUCCGAGGAUAUCGGAUGGGAGGCUGCUGUUGCUGCAGGUGUCGCUGCUUGUUGACUACUGGCUGUAGUUGGUGUCGUCGCCGAUGAGGCCGGGAUCGUUGAAGAAGCCUGUUGAGACGAUGGGGAACUGGACGAAGUGUCCAUCGGCGUUGGUCCGUUUAAUUGCGCAUCAGUUGCACUAUCGGCCGAAGCUGGGGCUGCAGACAAAUCUGAAAAAAUGAGGAAACAAAACAUUAGAACUAAUCACAUUUUCAUCUACUUCAAUCAGAACACAAAGCCUACUCUAAGCGCAGAGCUGAAUCAACUUCGAACGUCAUUGCCAAACUGUCAGUGAGAGUGAUUGAUCUCAAACUCAAAAAAAAAUUAGCGUCGGUCCAAAACGAAACGAACACGCUCGAUUUUCAUCGCGAGUCGCGCCUCAGUUGCGCGUCCAAGCUUCUAAGCAGCAAGUGCGCCAAGUGAGAGCUCCGCUUCCAGUUCCAAAAAUUACGGGAAAAGCUCUGCCGGUUCAUCGUCGAAGUCACAGAACAAAAAUAAAAUCAUCGUAACCAGUCCCCGCACUACUCGGAAGGUGUAAAUAUUGCUAUGAAGAAGCCUAGAAUGACGCUCCCGGUAGUUGUUCCGGCAAAAGAGAGUCGAGAAUAUUCAUCCGGAUGUGAUAUCUUUUCAUUCGUACAUAAUGAAACCCCGAAUGACAGCGGAGAAAGCCCGGAUGAAAAAGCUACAUCCGGUUUAUCAUUGGCGAAAACAAUCGACUUUCUAGGAUCGAAGCAUUUCCAGACUUGCCUUCACAUUUGAUCGGUUGGGAACAAAAGAGUCCGAUUUUUAAGGCGAGUUUUUUUUGUUAAUCAGAGCCUCUGGCAGAUCCAGUAACCUGUGAGAUGCUUGUUUUCAUCGAGAAUGCUGCAGUGGGAAACGGUGAGGCGUUAGAUAAGCCAGCAAUUGGGUUAAACGCUGUGCUAGCAGAGCUCAUGUGGUUCAGGCCAAGUCAAGUGGACAGUCUCAGAUGGAGAUUGGAUUAAAGACGUUCCCGAGAAAAUGGUCGAAAACCAUCAACGCGAAACUUUGAACGUUCCUGUAGGUGUGGUAUGAAGGAAAAUCACAGAUUAAAAUCACCAAGCAUGACGAGCUAUGUGCAAUUUCCCCAUCAGCCCAACCCCCAAAAACCCCUAACCCAUCUCCACCCCAACCCCCCUGUACCCCCCCUUCUCUUCCCCCCAGAAAGUUGCGUCUGCAGCAAAACUAGAGCAACAUUUAUUGAUCGGUCAGGUUACGCAGCAAAUCAUUGGAAACCUUUAUUGAAAUGUUCAGUUUUCUGGGGAUUCGUUAACGUUCAAAACUGCUAGUGUUAGGUGCUGAAAAGAAAGUCAAAUUGUAAAACAGAUUCUAGAACAAAGAAAAUUGUGAAAAAAAUGAUUCAGCCCAAAGACAGCAAAUCAAUUAUCCAGUUUCGACAACAACCAAUUCAGUUAUCUUAGUUCCAAGCUUCAGUUCGUUCGUCACUGAAAGGAAGCAAUUAUGUAUUAGGAAAAUCAAUUAUUGUGGUCGCCCCAGAUCAAUUGAUAUGUAGAAACUAUCAGGAACAAUAAGU